rnacentral:rRNA from 1 species
UAGGGAAUCUUCCACAAUGGACGAAAGUCUGAUGGAGCAACGCCGCGUGAGUGAAGAAGGGUUUCGGUUCGUAAAACUCUGUUGUUAAAGAAGAACAUAUCUGAGAGUAACUGUUCAGGUAUUGACGGUAUUUAACCAGAAAGCCACGGCUAACUACGUGCUAG